rnacentral:lncRNA from 1 species
CAGACAGGGAACAGGGUGGCUGGAGAGAGCCCUGCUUCCCUUCUCCAUCCUUGCUCCCUCAGGCUUCACUUCCCAACAGGCCAAGGAAAAGUAACUCUGCCGGGGGCACCUCCAAGACACCCAGGACAUUCUUGAUAAAUCUGUCCGCAGAAGCAGUCCUGCAUGAGUCAAGGAAAUCACCUGAUGGCCAGCGAGCCAAGGCUAACCGAGCAUUUUCAACAUGCCUGCUACCACUCGGCACAGGCACCCUGACGGCCCUGGGAAUGCAAAGGACUCCCCUGUUCUUGGGGAGCAGUUGCCAGGGACCAGCCCCCUCUCUGGAUGAUGGAGGGCUCCCAGCACCAGUCGCCAUCACUUACGUCCUCCACUGGGCUCCAGGGGAGUGUUUUCAGCCUGACUGAUGACAGAUCAAGAGAAGAAUAUCAC